AAUAAAUCUGGAAGUAAUGAUAAAUUCUCUUUAUUUGGGCACUUUGAGGAUUUUGAACUAGUAGUGCAACCCGCCAACAAUUAA
rnacentral:ncRNA from 10 species